GACGAACGCUGGCGGCGUGCUUAACACAUGCAAGUCGAGCGGUAAGGCCCUUUCGGGGGUACACGAGCGGCGAACGGGUGAGUAACACGUGGGUGACCUGCCCUCAGCUCUGGGAUAAGCCUGGGAAACUGGGUCUAAUACUGGAUAUGACUCCACGGUGCAUGUCGUGGGGUGGAAAGCCUUGUGCGGCUGAGGAUGGGCCCGCGGCCUAUCAGCUUGUUGGUGGGGUGANGGCCUACCAAGGCGACGACGGGUAGCCGGCCUGAGAGGGCGACCGGCCACACUGGGGCUGAGAUACGGCCCAGACUCCUACGGGAGGCAGCAGUGGGGAAUCUUGCGCAAUGGGCGAAAGCCUGACGCAGCGACGCCGCGUGAGGGAUGACGGCCUGGUGUAACGU
rnacentral:rRNA from 1 species